rnacentral:misc_RNA from 1 species
AGCAGCCGCGGUAAUUCCAGCUCCAAUAGCGUAUAUUGAAGUUGUUGCAGUUAAAAAGCUCGUAGUUGAAUUUCGGGAUUAAUAUGUUGGUCGUGCCUUGGUACGUACUGGCAUUAUUGAUUCCUACCUUCUGAAGAACCUCGAUGUCAUUAAUUUGGUGUCUUGGGGAAUCAGGACCGUUACUUUGAAAAAAUUUAGAGUGUUUAAAGCAGGCUCGCGCUUGAAUACAUUAGCAUGGAAUAAUGAAAUAGGACGUUUGAUUCUAUUUUGUUGGUUUCUAGGAUCGACGUAAUGAUUAAUAGGGAUAGUUGGGGGCAUUAGUAUUCAAUUGUCAGAGGUGAAAUUCUUGGAUUUAUUGAAGACUGACUACUGCGAAAGCAUUUGCCAAGGAUGUUUUCAUUAAUCAAGAACGAAAGUUAGGGGAUCGAAGACGAUCAGAUACCGUCGUAGUCUUAACCAUAAACUAUGCCGACUAGGGAUCGGAUGAUGUUAAUUUUUUAAUGACUCAUUCGGCGCCUUA